GACAGAGGGUGCAAACGUUGCUCGGAAUUACUGGGCGUAAAGCGCGUGUAGGUGGACCAGCAAGUCAGGCGUGAAAUCCCUAGGCUCAACCUAGGAACUGCACCUGAAAACUGCUGGUCUUGAGUGGUGGAGAGGAAAGCAGAAUUCCUGGUGUAGAGGUGAAAUUCGUAGAUAUCAGGAGGAACACCGGUGGCGAAGGCGGCUUUCUGGACACUUACUGACACUGAGACGCGAAAGCGUGGGGAGCAAACAGG
rnacentral:rRNA from 1 species